AGCAGCCGCGGUAAUUCCAGCUCCAAUAGCGUAUAUUAAAGUUGUUGCAGUUAAAAAGCUCGUAGUUGAAUUUCGGAAUCUGUCCGUUGGUCGGGCUUCAUUGUCCGUACUGAUGUGAUGGGUUCUUACCUUCUGAAUAACCAGCAUGUCAUUAAUUUGGUGUGUUGGGGAAGCAGGACUAUUACCUUGAAAAAAUUAGAGUGCUCAAAGCAGGCUAGUGCCUGAAUACAUUAGCAUGGAAUAAUAAAAUAGGACGGCAUGGUUCUAUUUUGUUGGUUUCUAGGAUCACCGUAAUGAUUAAUAGGGAUAGUUGGGGGCAUUAGUAUUCAAUUGUCAGAGGUGAAAUUCUUGGAUUUAUUGAAGACUAACUUCUGCGAAAGCAUUUGCCAAGGAUGUUUUCAUUAAUCAAGAACGAAAGUUAGGGGAUCGAAGACGAUCAGAUACCGUCGU
rnacentral:rRNA from 1 species